CUCAGAUUGAACGCUGGCGGCAGGCUUAACACAUGCAAGUCGAGCGGUAGCACAGGAGAGCUUGCUCUCUGGGUGACGAGCGGCGGACGGGUGAGUAAUGUCUGGGAAACUGCCUGAUGGAGGGGGAUAACUACUGGAAACGGUAGCUAAUACCGCAUAACGUCGCAAGACCAAAGAGGGGGACCUUCGGGCCUCUUGCCAUCAGAUGUGCCCAGAUGGGAUUAGCUAGUAGGUGGGGUAAUGGCUCACCUAGGCGACGAUCCCUAGCUGGUCUGAGAGGAUGACCAGCCACACUGGAACUGAGACACGGUCCAGACUCCUACGGGAGGCAGCAGUGGGGAAUAUUGCACAAUGGGCGCAAGCCUGAUGCAGCCAUGCCGCGUGUGUGAAGAAGGCCUUCGGGUUGUAAAGCACUUUCAGCGAGGAGGAAGGUGGUGAGCUUAAUACGCUCAUCAAUUGACGUUACUCGCAGAAGAAGCACCGGCUAACUCCGUGCCAGCAGCCGCGGUAAUACGGAGGGUGCAAGCGUUAAUCGGAAUUA
rnacentral:rRNA from 1 species